GACGCCGAUAUUCGACGUCAUAAACACGAGCAAGUUUGGUGUUUAUGACGUCGAUAUUCGACGUCAUAAACACGAGCAAGUGUGGUGUUUAUGACGUCGAUAUUCGACGUCAUAAACACGAACAAGUUUGGUGUUUAUGACGUCGAUAUUCGACGUC